CAAUAGCGUAUAUUAAAGUUGUUGCAGUUAAAAAGCUCGUAGUUGGAUUUCGGGGCAGCCUGGCUGGUCCGCCGCAAGGCGAGUACUGGUCAGCCGCCCUUCCUCUCGAAAGCCCCGACUGCUCUUCGUUGCAGUGGUCGGGUAGUUCGGGACGUUUACUUUGAAAAAAUUAGAGUGUUCAAGGCAGGCCUACGCCUGAAUGCAUUAGCAUGGAAUAAUGGAAGAGGACCUCGGUCCUAUUUUGUUGGUUUCCAGGGCCGAAGUAAUGAUUAAGAGGGACAGUUGGGGGCAUUCGUAUUUAAUUGUCAGAGGUGAAAUUCUCGGAUUUAUGAAAGACGAACAACUGCGAAAGCAUUUGCCAAGGAUGUUUUCAUUAA
rnacentral:rRNA from 1 species